GCCUCGGUAGCUCAGCUCGGUGGAGCGGCAGCCUCGUAAGCUGUUGGAUUAAAAGCGCUACGCUUUUAAGACAAAUCGUGGGUUCAAAUCCCACCCGAGGCU
rnacentral:tRNA from 1 species